rnacentral:rRNA from 1 species
GACGAACGCUGGCGGCGUGCUUAACACAUGCAAGUCGAACGGUAAGGCCCUUCGGGGUACACGAGUGGCGAACGGGUGAGUAACACGUGGGUGAUCUGCCCUGCACUUCGGGAUAAGCCUGGGAAACUGGGUCUAAUACCGGAUAGGACCAUGGACUUCACGGUUUGUGGUGGAAAGCUUUUGCGGUGUGGGAUGGGCCCGCGGCCUAUCAGCUUGUUGGUGGGGUAAUGGCCUACCAAGGCGACGACGGGUAGCCGGCCUGAGAGGGUGUCCGGCCACACUGGGACUGAGAUACGGCCCAGACUCCUACGGGAGGCAGCAGUGGGGAAUAUUGUACAAUGGGCGCAAGCCUGAUGCAGCGACGCCGCGUGAGGGAUGACGGCCUUCGGG